AACUUCAAAGGCAUAUCGAUAUCCCAGAAUGUUAUUUGCAAGGGAAGCCACAGUUUGAGAGUGCCAGAAAAAAAAUACCUUAUUUCUGUACUCCCACAAAAAAAAUCAUCUUGAUCCCAGAAACUAGCCUUGCUUCUAUUUUCUGUUUAGUUUUAGCUGUUUGCUAUUAAAAUCUUUACUCUUAUAAUAUCAACUUUACUCCUAGUUUUAGCUGUUUAGUUUUACUCUUAUAACGUUGUCCUUAAACUCCCCAUUACAGCUUCCUUUUAAAUCUUCUCAGAAAUCUCAGAAACCUCAGAUCUCUCUCAUUCAUCUGAAGCAAAACCCAGACAGCAACAGCCUCAACUCAAGUAUGAAACUGAAAUAUUUGGUGCUCGCAUGGAGUUUAUUAGUUAUAAUUACAGCACGAGCUAAAGACUUUAACGCACUAGAAUCAAAACAACGGGGGAAUCCAAUUAUUUGGAUUGGCAUUACCGUAGGUCUUUUUAUAGGGUUAUCUUUAGUUAUAUCAUAUUUUUUGAUUAGGCAUUGUUUCACUAACCAUGGUAACAACCCCAUUAUCCAACCUAACAUAGAACUUGUGCAAGUAAAUGUAUUUGAAAGAUAUCCUACUCAUCCCUUUCACGAAGAAGGAGACCAAAUAGAUUGUUCAAUUUGCCUGUACCCAUUAGAGGAAGGGCAAGAUGUAGAAACACUUCCAGUGUGUCAGCAUGUGUACCAUUCACACUGUAUAAGAGAUCACGGAAGAAGGGGUGUGGCAGCUACUAGAUGUCCAGAGUGUCGUGAAGACUAUACAAAUGUUAUGAAUUAGCUAACUAAAUUCAAUGUAUAAUACUCUUAAAUAUUUUUAAUUAUAAGGUCAUCUAUUUUUAA